CAGAGGAGAGGAAGUGCGUGUAAGGAGCUGGGAGCAAGAGUUUCAGGAGGAAGCCCAAAGACUCCAUGAAGAUGGAGAAUUGAUUAGAGUUGAUUUGUCCAUGUUGUGGUGGAGACAUACCAGUGAAGCAUUGUGGUUUGAAUGAACAAUGUCAGCUGAAAGCUUAAAGCUUUGCCUGAUGGUGGGAAGAAAGAAACUCAUGGUAAAACCACAAGAUUGCUCAUGAUCCUCUCUCAAAAUCAUAAAUUUCUCCCUGACACCCCAAAAAUGGCUGCAUUUUCCUUGAAACUUGGUUUUCAUUUGCUCAAAUCUCAGCUCAGCUUUGGUGAACCUGGCUCAAGUUUUGGGACUGUAAUGAAACUUGAAAUCUGGCAAGUUUUGACUGCUUUCACAUUUGAUUAUUAAAGUAUAUCUGAGCAGAUAAUGCGAUAAUUACAUCCACUCUGUUUAUUGUAAAUGUUGAAAAGUAUAGGCAUUCUAAAAACAAACAAAUUCAUGCAUGAUUUGUUGAUGUGUACAUCAAUGGGUUUCUUAUUUUUUCCAUAUUUACAGUGUUAUAUGAUAAAAUAUUUUCUUCGUAUUUUCAAUUUGUGUUUGUGUGACUGUUUUUGUUUGGGGAGAUAGCUGUAUCUUCUGUGUCUGAGUGGCUGUAAGAUUUAUCAUGUGUCUUCAAU